AUUGAACGCUGGCGGCAGGCUUAACACAUGCAAGUCGAACGAGUGGCGGACGGGUGAGUAAUGUCUGGGAAACUGCCUGAUGGAGGGGGAUAACUACUGGAAACGGUAGCUAAUACCGCAUCCCAUCAGAUGUGCCCAUAUGGGAUUAGCUUGUUGGUGGGGUACUGGCUCACCAAGGCGAAGAUCCCUAGCUGGUCUGAGAGGAUGACCAGCAACACUGAAACUGAGACACGGUCCAGCCUCGUACUGGAGGCGGCAGGGGGGAAUAUGGCACAAUGGGCGCAAGCCUGGUGCAGCCAGGCCGCGUGUAUGAAGAGGGCCUUGGGGUUGUAAGGUACUUUCAGCGGGGAGGCGUUACCCGCAGAGGAAGCACCGGCUAACUCCGUGCAAGCAGCCGCGGAAAAU
rnacentral:rRNA from 1 species